CGCUCAGACUCAGCUAUCAUUCCUCUCAUCCACUGCCUCCUCGCCGCCGGCGUGUUGACCCUGCCCCUCCCCUGCUGCGCGCUGCUCCGGCGAGGAGUGAACCCUCCCCUAACUCGUCGCAGCUUCCACGACGAAUUCCCCCUCCCCUCCCUCCCCACGGAUGCCCUCAACACUGCCUCCUUGCCGCCGGCGCUUGGACCCUCCCGCUCCCUGCUGCACGAUGCUCCGGCGAGGACUGACCACCCCCUGCCUCCUCGCUGCUGCCGUGACGGCCGCGCUUCCCCGAAACAGGGCUCGACUUGGAGGGCUCUGCAGCUCCUACCUCCUUCCCAUCCUCAUCCUCCUGCCGGACAAGAUGCUGAUCGGAGCCAGCGCCGAGGAUGCCCUGCUCCGGUGGGUUGGGCGUGUGGCGAGCCUCCAAGUGUGCCGCGAGCGAUUCACCAUAGACGCUCGACCUGUCACCCGUGCGCAUCGAGACGCUGACCGUGUCAUUCUCCUCCAAGACCGAAAUUCUUAGAUACCAAAACUCAGUUUCUGGAUGGGCGAGUUGUAUUCACAAAGCAAGGAAAGCCUGUAAUGCCACUAAAGGAUCCAACAUCUGAUAUGACUAUCAUUGCACUUAAAGGUUCUGUAGAGCAUAUAUACUUGCUGAAAUAAAUUAAACAAGAGGCCCAAGAAUAUAUUACCCGAUAUUUGGCUGAGUGAACCUGCCCCAGUAAUAUUGGAUUGGGCGACAAGAAUAGGUCUAUUUCCUCCUGGUUUUGCUUGCAUUUGCCAUGCUUCAUUUCUGUGCAACCAAUCGGACUCAUUGUCAUCGCCCAGUUGAGAUGCAUAGUGCUGCACAUGUGGCGCCAUAUCUCUGGCAUGCUUCAUUUGUAUGCAACCAAGCGGACUCAUCGUCACCGCCCACCUGAGAUGCAUACUCGUGAACAUGUGUCGCCAUACCUGAGUAAGAUGACAUCAAUUGGCCACCCCGCAAGGAUAUAGUUAGGGUUCCAGGAUUUUGUGGAAAUAUCACGUUACCAGUAUAUUUUCAGCAGGAAUAUAACCUAACAAUCCAGGAAUACACUCAUUUUUGCUACUUGCGCAAAGGAGGUAGUUACAAAUGCAAAGGUCAAUGUAGUGUUGUCCGACA